rnacentral:rRNA from 1 species
UACGUAGGGGGCAAGCGUUGUCCGGAAUUACUGGGCGUAAAGGGCUCGUAGGCGGCCAACUAAGUCGGACGUGAAAUCCCUCGGCUUAACCGGGGAACUGCGUCCGAUACUGGAUGGCUUGAGGUUGGGAGAGGGAUGCGGAAUUCCAGGUGUAGCGGUGAAAUGCGUAGAUAUCUGGAGGAACACCGGUGGCGAAGGCGGCAUCCUGGACCAAUUCUGACGCUGAGUGAGCGAAAGCCAGGGGAGCAAACGGG